GACCUGUGAGAGAAAGCCGGGGAAGCAGAACCCUUUGAUGGAGACAACAGAGUCAGGACAAUAUUGUUUAAAACUCCUAAAUCCAAACAUGCCUGAAGCUAUAAGUUACUUCUGAAAUUUAAAAAUUUGUCUGUGGUAUCUGUUUAUUAUGGCAGCCCAGUGAGACUAAGACAGGCCAUCAAAAGACGUGAACGUUUUGGACCUUCUCUUGGGCCCUAGUAAACAGAAAUCAGGCUACUUAUUAAACUAAACCACGUUCUGAACUGUUACUGCUACUGGAAACCAGUCCCGAUCCAGACCCCAAAAGAGGAUUCUUGGAUCUUGCACAAGAAAGAAAGGACACAGUGAAGGAGUGAGAUGUGAAGGUGCUCUGUCAUUGCCUCAGUCAAGACUUUCAUGGUACAUUGGAAGAAAGAGAAGCGUGAACAAAUUGCAUGAUACUUGAGGUCAUGCUGUGUACCUGUAUUGAACAAGAAUAAGGGAAGAAAGCUGGGAACCUGGAUCUCCCAUAUAUUGGAAGUUUUGUAAAAACCUUGAGGGUCCCUUCCACUACAUAUGGGGAUUAUGGGAACUGCAAUUCAAGAUGAGAUUUGAGUGAGGACACAGCCAAACCACAUGGAAGAUCUGGCAAGAGUUAGCAUGCAGGUCUACAUUGUGACAAUCCAUGAGAGCUAAGGACUGGCUGUCUCUUGGGACAAAUAGGCUUUCUUGAGUCUG
rnacentral:lncRNA from 1 species